AUUGAACGCUGGCGGCAGGCCUAAUACAUGCAAGUCGAACGAGUGGCGGACGGGUGAGUAAUGUCUGUGAAACUGCCUGAAGGAGGGGGAUAACUACUGGAAACGGUAGCUAAUACCGCAUACCAUCAGAUGUGCCCAGACGGGCUUUGCUUGUGGGGGGGGAAACGGCUCACCAAGGCCACGAUCCCUAGCUGGUCUGAGAGGAUGACCAGCCACACUGGAACGGAGAAACGGUCCAGACUCUGAGGGAGGGAGGCAGAGGGGAAUAUUGCACAUUGGGCGCAGGCUUGAUGCAGCCAGGCCGCGUGUAUGAGGAAGGCUUUGGGGUUGUAAAGUACUUUCAGCGUGGAGGCGUUACCCGCAGAAGAAGCACCGGCUAACUCCGUGCCAGCAGCCGCGGUAAUUC
rnacentral:rRNA from 1 species